GGUCCCUGGGAACCAAUGAUAAAUCUGGAGUGUGUAUCACAGGUGGCGGAAGAGAGGAGGGUAAAGCGAAGUGAAUGUGUCUGUGUUUCAUUCUGAAAUGACUGUGAUUUUUAUCUCUAGAAGUUCAGCUAGGGCACAGUUGAAGGCAUACAGGGGCUAUAGAAGAGAAAGAGAAAAAUAACAGAAAAUCUCUUGAUUGGACCCUCCGGAGUGACGUAAGCUUGCUGAUCUGUUGCUGUGAUAAACACCGUGACCAAAGCAACCUGGGGAAUAAACCAUUCUUCCAAGUGCAAGUCCAUCACUGAGGGGAGUCAGGACAGAAAUUCAAGGCAUCGCAGGAACCUGGAGACAAGAACUGAACCAGACACCAUGGCAGAAUGCUGCUUACUGGCUUACUCCUCCAGCCUGUGCUCAGCCUGCUUUCUUAUACAACCUAGCACCACCUACCUAGUGGUGGCAUCAUCCACAGUGGGCUGGGCAUCACUCAGCAGUCAAAAAAUGCCACACAGACAUGCCCACUGGCCAAUCGGAUAAAGAAAGUUCCCCAAUUGAGGUUCCCUCUUCUCGUGUGUAUCCAGUUGACAAACCAAGCCAACCACUCAGUCAUGACACAUUUAGUCCAGGAUCCCAGACAAUAGGACCAUGCCACCACAUUCAAGGUAGUUCUCUCUUCAGUUAAACCCCUCUAGAAACUCAAAGACACACUCAGAAGUGUGUCUGACAGAGGAUUCCAAAUCCAUUCAAGUGGACAAUAAAAUUAACCAUUGCUUCCACCUUAGUACAAGACCAAAGAGAGGGCUGGGGACCCGAAAAGAUCCUAGAGAGGUGAUGGCUACCUGGAUACUCUUUGUUAUCUAAUAGUGUCUUCUGUCAGGAACAUCUUUGUUCAGGGUUCUUGGUGUUCUUGGUUCAUGUACAAGUACUUCCUAGGACGAUCGGGGGAGGAAGACUCUGGAUCAAUUUAAUUUUUUCUUGACAGGGCCUCCCUAGUCCCAGUCUGCCUAAAAGUCACUAUGUGGAUCAGGCAGGCCUCGAUCUCGCAGAGAUCCACCUGCCUCUGCCUUUCAAGGCCUGUGCCACCAUGCCCAGCAUUGAAUCAAUUUAAUUUUCAAUUUUAGUAUGCCAGCCAAACUUUCUCAAGCAAAUUACUCUUCCCCCUGGAAUUAAAAAAAAAAAGUAUAUAAAUUUCUGGGAACAAGGGAUAAAGUUCAGUGGUAGAGUACUUGCCUAGCAUGAACAAGGUCCCUGUUUCAAUCCUUCUCACUGGCAAAAAGAUUUUUUAAAAGUUUGUUUUACAAGGCGGGCAUGGUGGCGCACGCCCUUAAUCCCAGCAUUUGG